rfam:Hydrogenobaculum sp. Y04AAS1, complete genome.
GGGGAUGUAGCUCAGUCGGGAGAGCGAUGCCAUCGCAAGGCAUAGGUCGGGGGUUCAACUCCCCUCAUCUCCA